rnacentral:rRNA from 1 species
AGGACGAACGCUGGCGGCGUGCCUAAAACAUGCAAGUCGAACGGUGUAGCAAUACACAGUGGCGAACGGCGGAGUAAUACAUGAAUAACGUGCCCGGAAGACUGGGAUAGUCAGGGGAAACCCUGGGUAAUACCAGAUGCGGCCGUCUCUCGGCAUCAAGAGACGAUCAAAUGGCUUUUCGCUUCCGGAGCGGUUCAUGGCCUAUCAGGUAGUUGGUGAGGUAACGGCUCACCAAGCCGACGACGGGUAGCGGGUCUGAGAGGAUGAUCCGCUCGAGUGGGACUGAGACACGGCCCACACACCUACGGGUGCGAGCAGUUGGGAAUCUUGCUACAAAGUGGGGGAAACCCCAGUGCGAGCGACGCCGCGUGGAGGAUGAAGGAUCUAGGUCUGUAAACUCC